UUGCUUAGGCAGCACACGUACUAAAACUGGAACAACACAGAGCAUGGCCCCUGUUCAAGGAUGACAUGCAAAUACAAAUUCAUGAAGCCUCCCCCUUUUUU
rnacentral:snRNA from 1 species